CGACUCUGGUUUCUCUUCAUUACGCACAAGCCUUUCGCCUUUACUAAAGACUUCCGUGGAGAGGAAACACUUACGAGUUCAACAUAUUUUUUGGAAGGGCUUUGCUUCUGGCAGAGCC
rnacentral:snRNA from 1 species